rnacentral:snRNA from 1 species
ACUUGAGUAGCCCAAAUGGC